AUUGAACGCUGGCGGCAGGCCUAACACAUGCAAGUCGAGCGGAUGAAGGGAGCUUGCUCCUGGAUUCAGCGGCGGACGGGUGAGUAAUUCCUAGGAAUCUGCCUGGUAGUGGGGGAUAACGUCCGGAAACGGGCGCUAAUACCGCAUACGUCCUGAUGGAGAAAGUGGGGGAUCUUCGGACCUCACGCUAUCAGAUGAGCCUAGGUCGGAUUAGCUAGUUGGUGUGGUAAAGGCCUACCAAGGCGACGAUCCGUAACUGGUCUGAGAGGAUGAUCAGUCACACUGGAACUGAGACACGGUCCAGACUCCUACGGGAGGCAGCAGUGGGGAAUAUUGGACAAUGGGCGAAAGCCUGAUCCAGCCAUGCCGCGUGUGUGAAGAAGGUCUUCGGAUUGUAAAGCACUUUAAGUUGGGAGGAAGGGCAGUAAGUUAAUACCUUGCUGUUUUGACGUUACCAACAGAAUAAGCACCGGCUAACUUCGUG
rnacentral:rRNA from 1 species